ACGCUUUGGGAAACUGGAGCGUUAGUGGCAAACGGGUGCGUAACACGUGGGUGACCUACCCCGGAGUGGGGAAUAACAGACCGAAAGGUUUGCUAAUUCCGCAUAUGCUCGGUGAUUCAUUUUGUCGAGUAAAGCCGCAAGGCGCUUUGGGAGGGGCCCGCGGCCCAUCAGGUAGUUGGUGAGGUAAUGGCCCACCAAGCCGAUGACGGGUAGCUGGUCUGAGAGGACGAUCAGCCACACUGGCACUGAGACACGGGGAAGACUCCUACGGGAGGCAGCAGUGGGAUGUUUCUAGAAAUCUCCUACAUAUCUCAG
rnacentral:sRNA from 1 species